UGGCGACCGGCGCACGGGUGCGUAACGCGUAUGCAACCUACCCAUAACAGGGGGAUAACACUGAGAAAUUGGUACUAAUACCCCAUAACAUCAGGACCGGCAUCGGUUCUGGUUGAAAACUCCGGUGGUUAUGGAUGGGCAUGCGUUGUAUUAGCUGGUUGGUGAGGUAACGGCUCACCAAGGCAACGAUACAUAGGGGGACUGAGAGGUUAACCCCCACAUUGGUACUGAGACACGGACCAA
rnacentral:rRNA from 1 species